rnacentral:rRNA from 1 species
GAUGAACGCUGGCGGCGUGCUUAACACAUGCAAGUCGAACGAGAAAUGGAGACGGACACCUUCGGGCGGAAGGCUUCAUUUCGAGUGGCGGACGGGUGAGUAACGCGUGGGUAACCUGCCUCAUACAGGGGGAUAACAGUUGGAAACGACUGUUAAUACCGCAUAAGACCACAGCACCGCAUGGUGCGGGGGUAAAAACUCCGGUGGUAUGAGAUGGACCCGCGUUCGAUUAGCCAGUUGGCGGGGUAACGGCCCACCAAAGCGACGAUCGAUAGCCGAUCUGAGAGGAUGACCGGCCACAUUGGGACUGAGACACGGCCCAAACUCCUACGGAAGGCAGCAGUGGGGAAUAUUGCACAAUGGGGGAAACCCUGAUGCAGCGAGGCCGCGUGAGUGAAGAAGUACUUCGGUAUGUAAAGCUCUAUCAGCAGGGAAGAAAAUGACGGUACCUGAGUAAGAAGCCCCGGCUAACUACGUG